rnacentral:rRNA from 1 species
UACGGAGGGUGCGAGCGUUGUCCGGAAUCAUUGGGCGUAAAGGGCGCGUAGGUGGCCCGGUCAGUUCGUGGUGAAAGCGCGGGGCUCAACCCUGCGUCGGCCAUGAAUACUGCCGCGGCUGGAGCACUGUAGAGGCAGGCGGAAUUCCGGGUGUAGCGGUGAAAUGCGUAGAGAUCGGGAAGAACAUCGGUGGCGAAAGCGCUCUGCUGGACUGCAACUGACACUCAGGGACGAAAGCUAGGGGAGCGAAUGGG